rnacentral:rRNA from 1 species
UACGGGGGGGGCAAGCGUUGUUCGGCAUUAUUGGGCUUAAAGAGCGCGUAGGCUUGUUAAAAAGUCAGCAGUUAAAUACAGAUGCUCAACAUCUGAAAUGCUUCUGAUACUAUUAGCAUAGAGUAUGGGAUAGGUGAACAGAAUUUCGAAUGGAGAGGUGAAAUUCAUAGAUAUUCGAAGGAAUACCAGUAGCGAAGGCGGUUCACUGGAACAGUACUGACGCUGAGGCGCGAAAGCGUGGGUAGCAAACAGG